UUUUUUCAUAUCGGAUUGGAGUAGAGUCUAUAUCAAACUCGUAAUCCGGGUAGAUAAUAUAUUCAACCUUUAGUGACUUUGUAAUAAUAACACGGUUCUUAAAGAGAUUGAUAAUAUUAAAAAAUUAGAGAGCUGCAAAACGAGGAGUUUUAUUAAUUAGCAACGUUCACAUGUGCCUUUGAUACGACGUCCACAACAACAAAAAUUUACGCGACAUUGAUUUUACUAUAAAUUCGCACCUAAUCAUCUUCAUCUCCCAUC
rnacentral:lncRNA from 1 species